GACGAACCGUGCGAACGUUGUUCGGAAUCACUGGGCUUAAAGGGCGCGUAGGCGGGUGCUCAAGUCCGUGGUGAAAUCCUCCGGCUCAACCGGAGAACUGCCUCGGAUACUGGGCGUCUCGAGUGUGGUAGGGGUAUGCGGAACUAUCGGUGGAGCGGUGAAAUGCGUUGAUAUCGAUAGGAACUCCGGUGGCGAAGGCGGCAUACUGGACCACCACUGACGCUGAUGCGCGAAAGCCAGGGGAGCAAACGGGG
rnacentral:rRNA from 1 species